CUAAUUUCUUCUACUUAUUAUUAUGCGAUGCUUCCACUAUGAAUUUCAAUCUUUAGUUUCUUCUAACAAACUAGCUAGCUUAUAUCCAAGUCUCUUUUUCAUCUAUUCUUUAAUUUUCUUAGCUAGCAUCAUGAUAUGCUAAUUUAAUUAUUGUUUGCAGGAACAAUAAUAAUAAUAAUAAUAAUCAGAAAUUCAGAAUAGAAGCAGUUUUCUUCAUCUACAAAAGGAUGGUCAUUAUGAGAUUCAUACUUGUUGAGGGACAUUUUCUGAUCAUACUUUAGGUACACUCAUAAUAAGGUUGUGGAGCUUCGAUUUCUACUUUCUACUUCUAUUUCUCGAAGAUGAUGGGGAAACAUUACUUUCAUGAAGGGAAGAAUAUAUAAGAGCUGUAUAGAAUCCUCAUAUCCUAUUAUUGAUUGAUUACAAGAGAUAAUUAAGGAGAGAAGCUAUCAAAUUGUUGCUAUGUAUCAUGAUGAUGUGUGUUUUUACCAAGCAACUUGUAUGUAACAUGUCUAGGAUGGGCAAUACAUACUUAUUACCCAUAGGUAUUUAGGUAUUUAGGGCUUGUUUGAGUGAGCUUCUAAGAAAAUAUCUUUUUUCGAGUUAUCUUUUUUUAAAAGAUCUUAUAGAGAAGUAAAAGUAAUUUUAUGUUUGGAUAUCUCAUGUAAAAAGGUCUUUUUAUCUAUCAAUUA